ACGAACUCGGUCGGUUUUCACAGGCUCACCGACUAGAACCAACCGAUUGUUUUUUCGGGUUCACAAUCAAACCCAGUUGGUUUUCCCACAGGCUCACAAACCACAACCUUACAACGAUUGUUUUUCAGGUUCACAAUCAACCCAGUUGGUUUUCCCAAAGGCUCACCAACCACAACCUAACACCGUUGGUUUUCCCCUUGGCUCACCAACAAACCUUAACCCCUUGAUUCAAUCCCUUGAUUGAAUCAAGUUACAAGAUAUUAAAACAAAGGUUUAAA
rnacentral:lncRNA from 1 species